rnacentral:rRNA from 1 species
CCUACGGGCGGCAGCAGUAGGGAAUAUUGCUCAAUGGGGGAAACCCUGAAGCAGCAACGCCGCGUGGAGGAUGAAGGUCUUCGGAGUGUAAACCCCUUUUGUUAGAGAAGAUAAUGACGGUAUCUAACGAAUAAGCACCGGCUAACUCCGUGCCAGCAGCCGCGGUAAUACGGAGGGUGCAAGCGUUACUCGGAAUCACUGGGCGUAAAGAGCGCGUAGGCGGGAUAGCAAGUCAGAUGUGAAAGCCUAGGGCUUAACCAUGGAACUGCUUUUGAAACUGUUAUUCUGGAGUAUGGGAGGGGUAGGUGGAAUUCUUGGUGUAGGGGUAAAAUCCGUAGAGAUCAAGAGGAAUACUCAUGGCGAAGGCGACCUGCUGGAACAUAACUGACGCUGAUGCGCGAAAGCGUGGGGAGCAAACAGGAUUAGAUACCCUUGUAGUC